GGAUUGUGGCUCGGUGGUAGAGUGCUCUACUAGCACCUGCAGGGCCCUGGGUUCGAUCCUCAGCACCA
rnacentral:tRNA from 1 species